rnacentral:lncRNA from 1 species
UGAGGUGGUGCUUUUUAGCAGGAACCCCUCUCGCUUUGCAAAUAGUUUUUUGUUUGUUUUCCUUUUUGCCCAAUAGAGCCCUGCUCUACUGACCCUUCAAUGUGCCCGUGUGCCUAAAUAUUCCUGGUCGUGUGAAAAGAACCCAGGUAUUAGCUGAACUAAGGAGCACAAUUCUGCAACAUUUUGGCACCCAAACACGGGGCUUGAGAAAUGAAUGCAAUUGGAGAAACUGGUUGUUUUACCAGGCGUUGAUUGGAAAUGUGUGCUUCCCUUUAAGCAGUCAAGCUCAACUUGCAGAGCUGAUGGAAACCCCUUGGGAAAACUGGCCUCAAACGUUUGUCUACACAGUCCACAUACAGGGUUCUUAACCUGCGAUGAGGGAAACUUCCCAGGGCUUGUCUGGGUAUGCCCACAGUGGACUGGAGCCCAACCUGCACACUGGAGGAAGUGGGUGGAGCCACGUGGAUGUCAUGCCUUAUGCAGGGGAGGAGCCUGCUCUCUUCAGCUCCUGUGGUAAUGUGGGAAUUGAUCUGUGAGGAAACACUUUCUGAAAAUGUCAGAACUCUUGAAAACAUGGAUGAGGAAAAGCAUAAGUACUGCUUUAUGCUUGUCUUAUGAAUUUUAAAAGAUGUAAUUUAAAGAUUGAAACUCCCACAACUUUGGCAGACCAACUCCUCAGAAAACAUUAUUCUUUGACAUCAAUAUGUUUUGCACGAAAUUGAAUGACAAGUGAAAGGCAUCAAAUGGAGCUGUCAUUUAAAUGUGCUUGCCAACUAGCUUGUUUAUCAAAACAUUCCAGACCCUUUCAAAUUCUCAUUUACAUUGUUUCUUGUUUACCACACCCAUAAAUUUGUAUUACCAGCAUAUUUAACUAUCGGGCUAUUUUGGAGAUUGAAAAAAGAAGACCUGAUUUAUCAUGUGCAAUAUCUCA